ACAGUGGUGGUUCAGUGGUAGAUUUCCUGCCUUCCAUGUAAGAUACCAGGGUUUGAUUCUCCGCCAAUGUA
rnacentral:tRNA from 1 species